UCCAGACUCCUACGGGAGGCAGCAGUGGGGGAUAUUGCGCAAUGGGGGAAACCCUGAUGCAGCGACACCGCGUGGGUGAGGAAGCGCUUCGGCGUGUAAAGCCCUAUCAGUGGGGAAGAAAAAGGACGGUACCCAAAGAAGAAGCACCGGCUAACUCCGUGCCAGCAGCCGCGGUAAUACGGAGGGUGCGAGCGUUAAUCGGAAUUACUGGGCGUAAAGCGCACGUAGGCUGUACGACAAGUCAAGGGUGAAAUGCCACGGCUCGACCGUGGAACUGCCUUUGAAACUGUCAAACUGGAGUAUGUGAGAGGGCGGCGGAAUUCCUGGUGUAGGAGUGAAAUCCGUAGAUAUCAGGAGGAACAUCAGUGGCGAAGGCGGCCGCCUGGCACAAAACUGACGCUGAGGUGCGAAAGCGUGGGUAGCAAACAGGAUUAGAUACCCUUGUA
rnacentral:rRNA from 1 species